ensembl:lncRNA
CCUGUGUAUCAGGGCUCCUGCUGCCUGACCAAACACGCUGAUAAGCGACGCCUCGUCUUCAGAUACGACCUCUGGCUGAGAAGAGAGGGGGGGCUGAGCGGAGGGCGUCCGGAAGAACUCACACUUCUGUUUGUCCUCCCAGGAUUUAAGGGUGCUCUCAAACGCCUGAAAGAUGCAAAGACACACAGAUGGUGAAGCUCUGGUAGAGUAACGGUACGACUGGUUGCUUGUGGUGCCAAAUUGCGCUUAACAAGAUAUUUGUCAGCUUUUGUGAGUCAAUCUUUACGUAUAGUCGACUGCACACAGGGCUCAAGGACACACACUCGUCUCACAGCUUGAACCCUCCUGGGUACAUUUCCAAUCAUAAAGUAUUGUAUAUGCUACCAAUCAAUUAAAGGCCACCACACAUAGUUCUCAAAGUAAAUGCUUGUGUAUUAACAAUUAAUGGGCAUACAAUAUAAUACACAGUCAUUCCGGUUUGGGGGGCUGAGCCGGGAAAGGAACAAAAUAAUUGUCCAGCACAAAAAGAGUCUCACUGCUUUACUGUAGUGUCAAAAGUUAUGGACUGUUCAGUCUAGUAAAUCCAGUCCGACCAUUACUUUACCACGGAAGCUUUCUCCGCGUCUGAAUACGCUCCAGGAUCUCGUCCUGGCAACUUUCCGCGCUCAACAACCGGAUCGCUCGUAACGCAGACUUUAGUUCGCCCACAUUCCCCUUUUGUCACCCUUUCAGUUGUACUGUGUCUCUGGUGAGGGUCUGGGUACUACCCGGUCUCUGGUGAGGGUCUGGGGUAGUACUGUGUCACUGGUGAUGGUCUAGUACUCACCCG